AACGAACGCUGGCGGCGUGCCUAACACAUGCAAGUCGAACGGAAUCAAGGGGCUUGCUCCUUGGUUUAGUGGCGCACGGGUGAGUAACGCGCGGAUAAUCUGCCCUGGUAUCUGGGAUAACAUUUCGAAAGGGGUGCUAAUACCGGAUAAGCCCACGGGGUCUUCGGACCUUGCGGGAAAAGGUGGCCUCUGAAUAUGCUACUGUAUCAGGAUGAGUCCGCGUCCCAUUAGCUAGUUGGCGGGGUAACGGCCCACCAAGGCGACGAUGGGUAGCUGGUCUGAGAGGAUGAUCAGCCACACUGGAACUGAGACACGGUCCAGACUCCUACGGGAGGCAGCGGUGGGGAAUUUUGCGCAAUGGGGGAAACCCUGACGCAGCAACGCCGCGUGAGUGAUGAAGGCCUUCGGGUCGUAAAGCUCUGUCAGAGGGAAAGAAGUGUAGGAGGGUUAAUACCCCUUUUACUUGACGGUACCCUCAAAGGAAGCACCGGCUAACUCCGUGCCAGCAGCCGCGGUAAUACGGAGGGUGCGAGCGUUGUUCGGAAUUAUUGGGCGUAAAGCGCGUGUAGGCGGUUUUUUAAGUCUGAUGUGAAAGCCCCGGGCUCAACCCUGGGAAGUGCAUUGGGAAACUGGCAGACUUGAAUACGGGAAAAGGGCAGUUGGAAUUCCUGGGUGUAGGAAUGAAAUCCCGUAAAUAUCAGGAGGAACACCGGUGGGCCAA
rnacentral:rRNA from 1 species